UCACUAAAAUAGGUUUUUCAGUUGUUUAUGUAUUUUUUACUUUAUGCAGCAGAGACAGUGGAAGAAGCACAGUGUACAUUUCCAAGGUGUUUGUUACUGCAAUCUUUUCAACACCCCUGGAUAAUUCAGGCUAUACUUCAAUAUCACUUACCAGCUGCCGGACAACUUCUGGUGAUAUAGACAUCAAGUUGAAUGGAAAAAGUGGCUUCCUGCAUAACUUCUUUAUCAAGUAUCUGAAGAAACCCAUUCACAGGAGUUUGACCGCUAACGUAAGCCUUUCAGAUUGUGUACAGGAGGGGUGUAAGGAAUAUCAUUUUCACAAGUCAGCACUGGGAACUUGAUAAAGGAAGAGCUAGAAAAAUAAUAGUCUGAUUCUGGUCUGGUCAGCACAGUCAUUUUGCUGGCCAGAAACACUUUGAGAUAGAGUAUUGAGUUCAUGGCUGAGAUACUGACUGAUAUAGGGGUAAGCUCAACCAGGGCCAGAAUGCGCAGUUAUUUUCCUGUUCCAAUGCAAAUAGGU
rnacentral:lncRNA from 1 species